rnacentral:rRNA from 1 species
AGUGAACGCUGGCGGUAGGCCUAACACAUGCAAGUCGAACGGCAGCACAGGAGAGCUUGCUCUCUGGGUGGCGAGUGGCGGACGGGUGAGGAAUACAUCGGAAUCUACUUUUUCGUGGGGGAUAACGUAGGGAAACUUACGCUAAUACCGCAUACGACCUACGGGUGAAAGCAGGGGACAUUCGGGCCUUGCGCGAUUGAAUGAGCCGAUGUCGGAUUAGCUAGUUGGCGGGGUAAAGGCCCACCAAGGCGACGAUCCGUCGCUGGUCUGAGAGGAUGAUCAGCCAAACUGGAACGGAGACACGGUCCAGACUCCUAAGGGAGACAGCAGUGGGGAAUAUUGGACAAUGGGCACAAGCCUGAUCCAGCCAUACCGCGUGGGUGAAGAAGGCCUUCGGGUUGUAAAGCCCUUUUGUUGGGAAAGAAAUCCAGCUGGCUAAUACCCGGUUGGGAUGACGGUACCCAAAGAAUAAGCACCGGCUAACUUCGUGCCAGCAGCCGCGGUAA